rnacentral:lncRNA from 1 species
CCCUUCAAGGCCACACCCCCAAUGACCUAACUUCCUUCCCCUAGGCCACACCUCCCAAGGUCUCUCCCCUCCCAAUAGCACCACAAGCUGGCAACUAAGCCCCCAGCAUAUAGGCUUUUGGGUGACAUUUAAGCUCCAAACCACAGCAAGAGGUGAAAGUGUUGAACAUUUUAUUAAGUUUUAAAAGCUUUACAUUUGUGAUACACUAAGAAACAGCAGUGCCGCUUCUCAAAGACAUUUUCUUUCAGUGCGUGGGUAAGGGCUUUAGGAUUUGUGGAGUACUGCUAUUAUUUUGUUAUAUUCUUCACGCAUUCACGUCCUAGGUCCAGGCCUGGGAACAGUAUGCCAUCUUCUUCCUUCAGGGAACACAAACAGUUAUAACUCCAGAUCCCAGCAUGGUGUUGCUGCACAUUUGACUCUACAACAUCAAGGGUGGGCUAGAGUUUGUUCUCAGGUGAGGAGGCCUUGAGCUUCCUCAGAGUAGAGGCUGAAGGAGGGAAGCAUGAAACCACUUCUCAUAGUGGGCCUAGAAUGCAGUUGUGCACGGGUGGUAAAGUAUACAUAACAAACUCUAGCAUCUUAACUAUGUAUACACAGAUUGUUCUGUGGCAUUAAGAAUAUUCUCAUGGGCUGGGAUUGUAGCUCAGUGGUACAGUGCUUGCCUCGCACAUGUGAGGCACUGGGUUCGAUCCUCAGUACCACAUAAAAAUAAAGGUAAUGUGUCCAUCUACAACUAAAAAUUAAAAAAAAAAAGAACAUUCACUUGGUUAUAUAGCUAUCACCACCAUCCACCUCCAGAACUUUUUCAAUUUGCAAAUCUGAAACUCUCCCCACAUUCAACACUGACUUUCCCAUUUCCCCUCCACUCCGACCCUAG